GGGACCUGUGGAGGGCCCAGGCUCUCGUAUAACGCCCCCAGGGCAAAGGGGGGUGGGGAGGGAGUUUCCUCCAUAAGAGUCUGGGGCAAGGCCGGGUGUCCCUGUAAGGGUCUGUGGGGAGGUCAAGCUGCUGCUACAGGGAAUGCGAGGUAAGAAACCAAGCCCCUACUACUGAGGCUGGGCAGUGUGAGUUCUCUUCUUUCUACUUGUGCCGUAGCAGGACCCGGAAGUGCCACCGGAGCGGGGCAGCCUGUGCGCAGUGCCUGAGGCAUCUCCAGCCACAGCAGGGCUCCAGUCUGAGCCUGGGGGACCAGGCAUCACUGACCCUUUUGAUCCCUACUCAGGUGCUCAGCUGCCCCAGGGAGCCACCGCUGGAGCCCAGGCCAUGCCCCACUGGAGCAGAACUGAUUUCAGCCAGUCCCCAGAUGGAUGAGUCCCUGCAGAGCUCAGUCCCUCCUCGCAGAAGACAUUGUAGUCAAAGACCUAAUGAUCUUGAACAGGCUUCCUCCCAGGAGAAGGAACCUGAACAUCCUAGGGUGCUUUGAAGGUGUACCAGCCCUAGCCUAGACAAAAAUCUGGGAGUAACUGGAAACACCACCACACUGGCCAGACCAACAGUGUCUUCUGCCUGGAGAACCUACAAACAGGAUCAACAGCACCUAGGGAUGUAGUCGUCAACUGUGGCAUAAGGAAGCUCACCUGAAA